rnacentral:rRNA from 1 species
UACGUAGGGUGCAAGCGUUAAUCGGAAUUACUGGGCGUAAAGCGUGCGCAGGCGGUUUUGUAAGUCUGUCGUGAAAUCCCCGGGCUCAACCUGGGAAUUGCGAUGGAGACUGCAAGGCUAGAAUCUGGCAGAGGGGGGUAGAAUUCCACGUGUGAGCAGUGAAAUGCGUAGAGAUGUGGAGGAACACCGAUGGCGAAGGCAGCCCCCUGGGUCAAGAUUGACGCUCAUGCACGAAAGCGUGGGGAGCAAACAGGAUUAGAAACCCCGUGUGAGUCC